AGCAGCUGAGGACUCCAACUAUUAUUCUAGUCCGUCAGAGGAUAAAGGGAGGGGUUCAAGAUACAAAAAAACAAAUAAAAAGUAUGAAGAUACGAGCUCUGAUGAGAAUGAAGGCAGAAGACUUAAACUCCCACCACUACCUACUGUUCCAGAUGGGAUAUAUAAUCAAAAUGAAAAUGGGACAUUGGAAAAACUAGAUAAAUUGCAUGAAACAGAAAGUAUUGGUAUCGCAUUAGUCAGCGAAUCAUCCGCAAGUCGACCAGAUAAUAUCUCACCGUCUGUAGUAGUUGAAGUUAAAUGAAUAAAUUAGGCAAUAUUAUGUAAUUUUGAUC